ACUGCCAAACUCCUUUUAGCACCUGACUGAUAUAUUGUCUCGGGCUGCACAGCAAGCUGGGAAAGGUCUGAGACAAUAAUUUUGUAGGCUAUAAAAAAAGGUUCUUGCGUGGAAAAGAAAGACAAAGAAAUGUGAUACCAACCACCAAGCAUAGAGCUACAACUCCUAGCGUGCCCCGGCAGCAUGCUGUGUGCGUCCACUGUCAUGAAGCUCCGGAAAAAGACGGAAAAUCACUAGUCUGGUGUAUGCCGCUAUUGGGCUAGUGGUUCCCCCCAUAUACCACUCAUAAAUAGACAAUGAAAACUGUUAUAUAUAGCCUACAGCGCGAGUGAGGGUAUAGACAGAAUCAACGUUAUGAAGAGAUUAAAGCAGUCAAGCUUAGAAGCAGAUGCUUAAUCACAUCAAGCUGGCGCCAACUUCUGCUGGAACCUGUACAGGUCUGUCCUAGCCUUAAGGUGUUGUCGAGAGAGCCCGUUCAUAGAUUAUUAUAAUGCCGCCAUGAAGUGUGCACCUGUUUGGCAGCCAUGUUUAAAUACGGUCUAUUUCUGUUCUCCAAGUAUAUAUGGUAGAGGUGGAAUCUGUAGGGAACCAACAAUCAUCAGGAGCAUCCCUAAUUGUUUCUGGAAGAAUUGUCACAACUGGCAAAAUACUUGGUGACUUGGAAUCAUUUGCAUUUGUUCAAUCACCAUAAUAGAGGAGUCUAGAAAAGUGUUGAAGAUAAUUAAUCUAUAUUUACAGCCAUGUCACUUAUAUAAAACAUCUGAUAUUACCACCUGUUAGCUGUUGCUCUAGAUAUAGUAAAUUGUUUAGGCUUUUAUAAUAACAAAACUAGAUGUAA